AUGAGUGAUGUGUGUGGCACACAUUUUCCUUGUUUCUUCUGCCUUGGCUGCACAGCUGUGGAAACCUGACCUGGUGAGGACCCUCUCCUCCAUCCUCAACUAUUGAACCUCUUAUAUCACUCGGAUGAGGUGUUCUGGAUCCAGACUGGAGCUUGUGUAAAUCCUAGUUACCACGGGAUGAAGAUCCCAGCAGAAACAGAGAAACAAAUAGAGACAUCAUGUUCCAACACAGACAGACCAGCCUGUGAUCUCCUAAGACACCCAGAUUCAGCCCUGGUCACGAUCUGUCCCACACCUGUGUCUCAUCACAGUCCAUCACCAGUGUCUGCACCCUGCCUACUGCCAAUAUUAUGGAUUUCUGUUCUGGAGAGAGAUGCCAUUCACAACAUAAUCUCUACACAAUAUCAAACUCAAAUAAUUUAAUCUUGCCUAACAGUUUCCCUGAUUUGUUACAGUUCACAAUGUAGCAUGGUCUUGCCUACCUUUGUCCAUUCAGUUGUUUAAAUGUUUUUAAUAUUUGAAA